ACAUGCUACAACAUACCGUAAAUGCACUGGAUCCCAUUAGAACUCCACAGUUAAGCACGCUCAGACUAGAUUAGUAUUGGGAUGGGUGAACGCCUGGAAAAUCCUAGUGUUUUACAUGCC
rnacentral:rRNA from 1 species